rnacentral:lncRNA from 1 species
AAGAAGGAUGACUUGGAAGCAGGGCUGCGGAGAAGCACCUCAGCAGGCAGAGAACAUGUUUUGAUCGCAUGUUGCUCUGUGUCCUGGGGCCUUUGCAAACCAACUCAGCACUACAGAAAAACAAGUCCACCAAUGAAAUGCUUUGAAAGCUGUGAUGGCAAGCUGGGAAAAACAGUGGCUCUUACAGUUAACCAUGGCAUAGGAAGGUCACCUUUUCAUCCUAGUGCUAACACCCAGCUGGAGUGGCAGUAUUACUGGAAUAAAAUCCUGAAAGGAAAAGCAGAAAAUGAGUUAUCAGCCAUUUUGAUCAUGUCACAAUGAAGACACUGAAGUUUGUGUUCUUCAGGAUUUGGGAGAUGGCAACAGGAAAAUAGUACUUUCAGGGGAAGGAGACAGAGUAAAGAAACCAUGAUUCAAGGAAAGACACAACCUCUCUUGGAACCAGAAUCUAAAUGCCUGGAUUAUG